rnacentral:rRNA from 1 species
AUUGAACGCUGGCGGCAUGCUUUACACAUGCAAGUCGAACGGCAGCGCGGGCUUCGGCCUGGCGGCGAGUGGCGAACGGGUGAGUAAUGCGUCGGAACUUGCCCAGUAGUGGGGGAUAGCCCGGCGAAAGCCGGCUUAAUACCGCAUACGACCUGAGGGUGAAAGCGGGGGACCGAAAGGCCUCGCGCUAUUGGAGCGGCCGAUGUCGGAUUAGCUAGUUGGUGGGGUAAAGGCUUACCAAGGCGACGAUCCGUAGCUGGUCUGAGAGGACGACCAGCCACACUGGGACUGAGACACGGCCCAGACUCCUACGGGAGGCAGCAGUGGGGAAUUUUGGACAAUGGGGGCAACCCUGAUCCAGCCAUGCCGCGUGCGGGAAGAAGGCCUUCGGGUUGUAAACCGCUUUUGUUCGGGAAGAAAUCCUCUGGGCUAAUACCCCGGGGGGAUGACGGUACCGGAAGAAUAAGCACCGGCUAACUACGUG